GAAGCCCAUUAAGCAAUAGAGUGAUUCUCAUUUUCCAGUCAUAUGCUAAUGCUACGCAACCAUCCAACCCAAUCCUCAAACAAACACCAAGCAUAGGAGACUCCCAAAUCAACAAAAUUGGGUGGUUCUCUGCGUUCUGCUUGGGCGGGGAACCUGGAAACGCGUCAAAUUCCAAAAUCUGCAGGACCAAAGAAGAUGACUGGUACUUGUUCACUUCCACAUACGAGCUCCAGGUCUCUUGGGUACAUGGAAUUGAAUGGUACGUGUCCAAAGUUCUUGUCUUUCACUGUAAAAAUGGAUGUUAGGGUUAUGGCUAGGCUAGUGCUUGUGAAGGUGAAGGAGUUUAGAUAAAGUUAGCAAUCUUCUAGACUGAUUUGCUCGUCACAUUCUUUCCUACCUUACUUUCACCGGUGUGUGAUGUGAUAGUAUGGCAGGAAAGAAUGUGAUGAGUAUUUGCAGUUACGGGUAAACUUACCCGUUUCAGCAGGGUGUCUAAAAGAUGCAAAGAACUUUAUCUAUCAACUCCUCCGCUGUUGAAGUUUGCUAGAUUUUCCAACGCGAAUGCAUCCACAUGUUUUGAGGGGCUGAGUUUGUGGAUCUUUGAGGUCUGUAGUGGUAGACAUGAAAUUUACAACUCUUAAAGCACUAUUUGCUAUAACCUCAAACACUUCGAGAUCUUUUUGCAAAUACAUUCAGGAAUUGCCUCUUCAAGAUGUUAAUGGGAUAAAAUAAAAUAUCACAAUUGAAAGCUUGUCUUUGGAGUCCUUUGAAUUGAUUGAUAUGCUUAACAGCACAGGUGAGAGAUUUGAAGACACACUUAUAAACUGGACAUUUUGUUCAAUUGCAAGACAUUUGCAAUGAUUUAAUAAUUUGAUCAAUCACCCAAAUGUGAUAGAAUUAGAAUGUUUAGAAGAAGCUGAGAUUUGUCUGCAAGAUGACCUUGAUAAACAUUUGAGGUCCCUUCCAGUUUACGCAGGCAGAGUUGAAGUUCUUAUUCUGUAAGAAGAGAUCAUUAAGGUAAAGGGAACCCGGACCAUUCAGGCUGAAAUUUUUGUUUAUGCUUUUUUAUUUUUUGCAAAAACUAUAUUUUUUAAAUUUGAACUAAUUUUUCAUUAUUUUGUUGUAUAGAACUUCUAGGUUUAGCUAAUUUUUUUCACGUCUGAAUUGUUUCAAACUUGAAUGAUGACAUUGCUUUUACAUUGCUGGUAAUGUUCUCACUGAACUCAAAUGAAAGUCCAUAUUUAUGCUAAGUUUUGUUGAAAAAAAUGAAAAUAAAGUGGGAAACAUGAUUUAUAAUAUUGCAGGCUCUGUCUGUCCAAUAUUAAUAUAUAUUUUGAAGGCUGUUGUUCGAGAACAAUCCAUGCCAGCACCAUUAGAUAAUGUAUGUCAUGUGCGUAUGCAUAUUGGAAGCUUUGUUGAUGAGCUAGUCCCCACAGUGGUCUUUCUUUUCAGCGUAAUAGCUAAUUUGUAUACUUGAUACAUAAGAUACAUAAGCCACAAAUUGGAAGCAUUGGGGUACUUUGUAUGCGAAGUCUACUGUAAGUUAAAGUCUUGUUGCUACUUCCUUCACGAGCACACACUCUCUCUCUCUCUCUCACACACACACACACAAUCAGGAGAGGACUCACUAUUAUUAUUUAUUAGACUCAGGACUCACUAUUAUCAUUUCUAGACUCAGGAUUCACUACUAUCAUUUCUAGACUCAGGACUCAAGAGCAUAUUCAUCAUACUUUCAAAAUGAUGCAGAUCACAUUUCUUUAUAUUUGGUACAUAAUUAGUUUUCAAUAUUUCUUGAAAAUUUUCAAUUGAUUUGUUGUUCUAACUCUUCAAACAUCUAGGUUUAGUAUGAAAUAUUAGAAGUUGCAAAACCUUGCUUUUAUGUAUCAGAAGGUUAGCAUGAAACUUUUUUUAUGGCUCUAAUGAAAUCGAGUUUGCACGUAUAUGCUCGAGCAUGAAUCAAAGCAAAGGAAGGCAGGUUCAAUAUUUUUAGAAGAAUUUAUUAAUGGUUAGUAUCAAAACUAUAGUUGUGGAUGUUGGAAGAUUCAUUGUGGCAUUUCUAACGAGAGGUUAAAAAAGAAGCUAUUUUGGUGUUUUCUAUAAUUUAUUUUUGUUCCAUCGAAACAAUAGUGUGGUGAAUUUCUACUGAAUGAGGGUGUACAGUACCUUUGUACAUUGUUCAUUAUUUGUAUGCUGCUCAGUGAUUGUGAGCAAGUUGAGAAUUUGUUAGCAAUUUUUGAAUAUUUCAUCUUUUGAACGUUUUGGUUAUCUAGUGAUCAGCAUAUCCCUUUAGAAUUAACUCUGAACCAUGUGUUCAUUCGAGUGCUAUACAAAUCAGAAUGGGCUUCUAAGCUUGGGAGCUUUUGAUCAAUGAUCUGGGAUGAUAAAGAAGUGGCAAAAAACUAUUUAGAUAGGCAAAAAAUCUUUGCUCAAUUAUCCUGCACAUAAGACUUUCUUUUUGCAUCACCCAUGAUUAUUGAGGAAAGAAAAAUAGGUUAACAGUAAAGGAUCAGCUGUGUGGAUUUUGAUACCAUGUGGAAAAAAUAGAUGUGAAAGUCUGAUGAUUUAUUCCCAGUAUAAAUACAAAGCUGUAGUACAAUAGAUAUGGACUUUAGCAACAAAUAAGCAUAAGCUAUUUAACUCUUAUACAACAAUCUAGAUACUUAAGCCUAUUAACCAAUAUUUGAACUUGUGCAAAGCUUUAUUUGAACCUUCCAAUUUUAGACAUUCUAAAAUUGCACUCAAUUACAUUAUCAUGUCUCACUCCUCAUUCUCACCACUCAACUCCUCCAGUGUUUUUCCCUUUGAUUCAGGCAAUAACAGAGUAAACAACAUGCCGAAGAAGUUGAUGGUGCCAAGCAUAAUUAGAGAAUUCUUCAUACCAAUACCUGGUGGGUAUCCAGGGUCCGUUUUUGCCGGGUUUGUGCUUUGUGCAGCGUAUAAGAACCCGAAGCCACC
rnacentral:lncRNA from 1 species